rnacentral:misc_RNA from 1 species
GUGAAUCAUCGAAUUUUUGAACGCAAAUUGCACUCUCUGGUAUUCCGGAGAGUAUGCCUGUUUGAGGGUCAGUUUAAAUAAAAAUCGGGGUGGUUGCUGCCUUUCGUGGUGAGGCACCGGAUUUGUGUCGUCGUUCCUUCGGGUAAGUGACCUAAAAUUUUGCAUGAUUGUUUCUGACGGAUGUAAAUGAGUGUACGUACGUUUGCGAUAUCAAAUACUAGGUGUGGUCAUCCUCAGUAUUCG